UACGAAGGGGGCUAGCGUUGUUCGGAAUUACUGGGCGUAAAGGGCGCGUAGGCGGUACUUCAAGUCAGGCGUGAAAGCCCCGGGCUCAACCUGGGAACCGCGCUUGAGACUGGAGAACUAGAGUUCGGGAGAGGAUGGUGGAAUUCCCAGUGUAGAGGUGAAAUUCGUAGAUAUUGGGAAGAACACCGAUGGCGAAGGCAGCCAUCUGGACCGACACUGACGCUGAGGCGCGAAAGCGUGGGUAGCAAAACAGG
rnacentral:rRNA from 1 species